GAGGGACGGUAAAGAGAAGGAAAAAUCAAAACUCGGAGGGGAAGGGUGGCUAGGAGGGAAACUGGAGCGGAGAGAAGGAAGGGGAUGCGAAGAGGGAAUGAAGAAUGGGGGGAGAAGUGUAGAAUCCGACCCUGUAGAAUCCAACCCGAGAGCUACGGUGAAGCCUCCUGUUUCCCUGCAAAGCUGGAGCCAGUGCGGGGAGAUGCCAAGGGCCCGCUUGGCUCAUGCCUUUUGGACUGGACCCUGGAUGCCUGUCAGUAAACCUGUCUGUCUGGUUGGCAGUUGGAAAAGGAGCUGGUGUCUUGGGGAUGUGUGCCAACAUCUACCAGGGCAGAGGGAGUCCCAGUGGCAAAGGUGCCCCCUGAGACCUCUACUCACCCCCUAAGGGGCAAUCCAAGAGAAAGCCCAGCCCUAAAGUCACCGGGUGGGGGCGGGGUGGGCAGACCCAGGGAAGCCGUGGCCUCUAGCCAGCCCCACCUCUUUGACAUUUGAUGUAGCCUCUGCAGUCUCGACAUUUCCAAAUUGGUGUUUAUCUUACCCACAGCUAGGUGCACCCUCCUGUUCCGCUUGGUUUGCCAGCCCCACCGUCUCUACAUCCUCUUAGAUUUGAAUCCUAAACCCUUUCUCCCUUACACCAGCUUCAACCUAUCCUGGCUCCAUCUGGCCAAGUAAAUUCCUUUCUGUCUCCUGUUAACAUAAUUACUCAGUUACCCAAUAUACCUACAAAGGCAGUGGAAACAGUAGCAGCUGAAUUUAAGAGACAUUUUGAAGAGUAACUGGAUGGGAUUGAGCUGUUAGAGGUGGUUUGAGAGAUGGAGGGUGAAUCUUUGUUGGCUGGUAUAUGCCGUACACAUGUAUGCUGUAUGCUUCGUCCGGUGGUAUGUGCUGCUGUAACAAAGUACCACAGAUUGCUUGGCUUAAACAAUAGAAGUUCAUUGUCUUAUAAUUCUGGAGGCCACAAGUCCAAGAUCAAGAUGUCAGCAAGGUUAAGUUCCUUCUGGGGAUUUGAAAAGGUAUCUGUUCUAUGCCUCUCAUUUUGCUUCUGGUGGCUCGCUGGCAACCUUUGGCAUUCCCUGACUUGUAGAAGCAUCACCUGACCUCUACCUUUAUUGUCACAUGGUGGUCUCCCCAUGUGUGUGUCUCUGUGCCCAAACUUCCCCUUUUGAUCGAGACACUAGUCAUGUUGGAUGACGACUUACUCUAGUGACCUCAUCUUAAGUCAACUAUUUAUAUCUGCAAAUGAUCCUUUUUCCAAAUAAGGUUACAUUCUGAGGUACUGUGGUUAGGACUUCAAAAUACAGAUUUGCAUGGUGGGGACAUAAUUUAACCCACACUGGGUAGGGAAAUGGUAAUUCUAGUCACAGAGGUGGCAUAAGAGUGGAGCAGAUUGGGGUGAGGGAGAGGAGGAUGGAUUUGUUUUAGAUGUUAUAUUUGAGGUGAGCAUGGUUGAUGGGUCACCAGAAGGGAGUCAGAAACUUGGUAGAGAGAUGCAAAUGUUAUCAUCUAUGAAAAUGAUACAAUUCAUUAUUGGAAAUGGUUUAUCAAUAGAUGGUCACGCAUAUAAA
rnacentral:lncRNA from 1 species